UACGUAGGGUCCGAGCGUUGUCCGGAAUUACUGGGCGUAAAGAGCUCGUAGGUGGUUUGUCGCGUUGUUCGUGAAAACUCACAGCUCAACUGUGGGCGUGCGGGCGAUACGGGCAGACUAGAGUACUGCAGGGGAGACUGGAAUUCCUGGUGUAGCGGUGGAAUGCGCAGAUAUCAGGAGGAACACCGGUGGCGAAGGCGGGUCUCUGGGCAGUAACUGACGCUGAGGAGCGAAAGCAUGGGGAGCGAACAGG
rnacentral:rRNA from 1 species